rnacentral:rRNA from 1 species
UACAGAGGUCUCAAGCGUUGUUCGGAUUCAUUGGGCGUAAAGGGUGCGUAGGCGGCGCGGUAAGUCGGGUGUGAAAUCUUGGAGCUUAACUCCGAAACUGCAUUCGAUACUGCCGUGCUUGAGGACUGGAGAGGAGACUGGAAUUUACGGUGUAGCGGUGAAAUACGUAGAGAUUGGGAAGAACACCAGUGGCGAAGGCGGCUAUCUGGACGGUUUCUGACGCUAAGACGCGAAAGCGUGGGGAGCAAACAGG